rnacentral:rRNA from 1 species
GAUGAACGCUGGCGGCGUGCCUAAUACAUGCAAGUCGAGCGAACGGACGAGAAGCUUGCUUCUCUGAUGUUAGCGGCGGACGGGUGAGUAACACGUGGAUAACCUACCUAUAAGACUGGGAUAACUUCGGGAAACCGGAGCUCAUACCGGAUGAUAUUUUGAACCGCAUGGUUCAAAAGUGAAAGACGGUCUUGCUGUCACUUAUAGAUGGAUCCGCGCUGCAUUAGCUAGUUGGUAAGGUAACGGCUUACCAAGGCAACGAUGCAUAGCUGACCUGAGAGGGUGAUCGGCCACACUGGAACUGAGACACGGUCCAGACUCCUACGGGAGGCAGCAGUAGGGAAUCUUCCGCAAUGGGCGAAAGCCUGACGGAGCAACGCCGCGUGAGUGAUGAAGGUCUUCGGAUCGUAAAACUCUGUUAUUAGGGAAGAACAUAUGUGUAAGUAACUGUGCACAUCUUGACGGUACCUAAUCAGAAAGCCACGGCUAACUACGUG